CCUACGGGGAGCAGCAGUGGGGAAUAUUGGACAAUGGGCGAAAGCCUGAUCCAGCCAUGCCGCGUGUGGGAAGAAGGCCUUCGGGGUGUAAAGCACUUUCAGUGGGGAAGAAAGCCUUGGGGCUAAUACCCUCGAGGAAGGACAUCACCCACAGAAGAAGCACCGGCUAACUCCGUGCCAGCAGCCGCGGUAAUACGGAGGGUGCGAGCGUUAAUCGGAAUUACUGGGCGUAAAGCGCGCGUAGGCGGUCUGAUAAGCCGGUUGUGAAAGCCCCGGGCUCAACCUGGGAACGGCAUCCGGAACUGUCAGGCUAGAGUGCAGGAGAGGAAGGUAGAAUUCCCGGUGUAGCGGUGAAAUGCGUAGAGAUCGGGAGGAAUACCAGUGGCGAAGGCGGCCUUCUGGACUGACACUGACGCUGAGGUGCGAAAGCGUGGGUAGCAAACAGGAUUAGAUACCCUAGUAGUC
rnacentral:rRNA from 1 species